rnacentral:rRNA from 1 species
AGUGAACGCUGGCGGUAGGCCUAACACAUGCAAGUCGAACGGCAGCACAGUAAGAGCUUGCUCUUACGGGUGGCGAGUGGCGGACGGGUGAGGAAUACAUCGGAAUCUACUUUUUCGUGGGGGAUAACGUAGGGAAACUUACGCUAAUACCGCAUACGACCUACGGGUGAAAGCAGGGGAUCUUCGGACCUUGCGCGAUUGAAUGAGCCGAUGUCGGAUUAGCUAGUUGGCGGGGUAAAGGCCCACCAAGGCGACGAUCCGUAGCUGGUCUGAGAGGAUGAGGAGCCACACUGGAACUGAGACACGGUCCGGACUCCUACGGGAGGCAGCAGUGGGGAAUAUUGGACAAUGGGCGCAAGCUUGAUCCAGCCAUACCGCGUGGGUGAAGAAGGCCUUGGGGUUGUAAAGCCCUUUUGUUGGGAAAGAAAAGCAGCAGGUUAAUACCCCGCUGUUCUGACGGUACCCAAAGAAUAAGCACCGGCUAACUUCGUG